UCAUGUAUCAUCCAAAAACCAAGACCACCUUUUUCUUUAACAAUAGAGUUUUUUUCCUAUUCAGAUAACUUUAAUUAUUAAGUUGCUUGUUUUGGUUCUUUUUGGAUUAAAUUUGGAUCAGUUUUUAUUUAAUUUUAUUUUAAAAAAUUAAAGUAUUCAAAUAUAUGAAGUACAUGAAAAGCUAAUAAAAAAAUUUAAACUGCGCAGAAGUAUUUGAAUUAGCAAAAUAGUUUUUAUAAAAACUACCAUAUUUUUCAAAAAUAUUUUAGUGUAUCUAUUUUAUAGAAGAGUCAAAAAAUUAAUAUUAUUAGUUAACUUUGUACUUUUGAGAUACUAAUUUAAAUCUUUCUUUCAAAUUAAUCCAAUAUUUGAAAUGCUUAACCUUGCUCUAUUUGAUAUCUUUCUGAAAUCAAUUAAAUUUUACUAUUUUUUUAGUCGGAUUCAAAUUUUAGGUUUAGUUAUAAAUGAUCAUGCCUAAUGUUUAAAUCAUGACUGUUAUAAGAUAUUUAUAUCUUGAGAAUAAUAAUAAUAAUAAUAAUAAAUGGGUUUUAUAUGGCAACAUGGAUCACGUGGAUGAUGUAAUUUAUUACAUCGAAUCAAAUAUAUGAUCUAACAUAUACUAAAAGGAGAAUAUUCUGAGUGUUUAGGGUGUCCACGUGUCAAAAUAAAUCAACCUAUCACGAGUUUACACUUCAUCAGAGUCUCCACGUCAGCCAGCUGCCUUCUUUCUUUCUCUCACGCGCCUCCUCUAACAACCCAAACGUCGCUGUUACGAAACUUCGUUCUUCUCCACCUUUAACUAUCUCCCUCCUCCAUAACUGAUAACUCCUCAAAUCCUUUUUUUUAAUUCCUCUGUUAUGACCGCAACACUCGAUGUCAACUUCUAGCUACGGCAAAUCUAACCAUGUUCCUUCCUCUUUCUGUUAUUAUCCUUCAUCUUCCUUGCCUCAUCGCCUCCUUCUCAUCAAGUAAGGAGCUUCAGAUAUUUGACGCUCUACCUCUAUGGAACGGAUCAGAUUAGGAGAAGAAAGUUCUUUAAGAGCAAGGUUCUGCCUCAGAAACUUAACAGAUAGAUCUCUUAUUCUGAAGGGAAGCACAAACCAUUCACGGGAUGAAGUUUCCCAAUUUGCAGAUCAAGUUUUUCUCUACUCCGAGUGCACCGAACACUGUUAUCAAAUCAAAAAGCUCUGGUGGGCAAUAAAUGCGUCAAGAAAAUCUUAUGGUUUCUUGGAAGGAUGAUUUUGUUUGUUGGGCAUCUGUAGUCUUCUCAGGGAAUCUUCCGGUUCCGGUCUUCUCUCCACCUCAAAUACAAAAGCGGUCAGCACAUGUUUGCAGCGUUAGGACGUUUUGCAAGACAGGAAAUCGGUGAAGAAGAUAGUAAAUGAAAGUUGUAACAAAUGAGGUGAGAGAAGUGAUAUCUCACUUUUUGUUUCCUUUUUUACUUGGAAAGAUUAUAUGAGAUUGGUUAAUACGGAGGAGAUGUGGCAAACACAAGAUAUUCUCUGCAUGAGCAGAUUUGAGACAGAUGUGGGAAAAAUUAAAAUGACUAGAAUUUGACCUGGAUUGGUUAAUACUUAAAUAAGUAAUACUCCCCAUAAUGACCCGCUGAUGGUAGUAGACCUGUGCAAGUAGUGGCUGUUCCAACAUCAAAGGGUCAAGCACUUGCUGAUGAAUAUGGAAGCAAGUUCUUUGAAACAAGUGCCAAAACAAAUCUAAAUGUGGAAGAGGUUUUCUUCUCGAUAGCAAAGGACAUUAAGCAGAGACUCACAGAUACUGACUCGAGACCAGAGGAUGAAAAGAAGUGUAUAGCCGGCAGUUUUUGUGACAUGCUCUUCAUAGCACCGUCAGACAGGAGCUAAGUGAUGGUAUGUAGGGUUACUUGACUCCAUGUUCAGGGGAGUCUCGCCUGCCUAUAUUCAAGCCCCCAAUGGAGGGUAUGGAGGACAUCUUGACCAACCAAGUCAUGUGAGAUCACUGACCUAGAUCACAGGUUUCUUCUAAUGGAAAGAAUGUACUCAAACUCAUCGAAUGAUACUUUGAAGAUAUAAGAAAAACAACAUCUAAUAAUUUACUUGAAGAUCAUAAUACUCCGGAGAAGAUACUAUUUCUUAUGUUUAUAUUUUAUUUUUUCUGACAUUAUAUGUUACACUACAAUUCUUUAGAUCAAUCUAUGGAACCAUUACUUUGUAAGGUAAUAAAAUAGUUCAAUACUCAAACAAAAAAAAAGUUUAGUUACACCAAA